CCAAGGAGUCUUGCAAAUGCGCGAGUCACUGGGCUGAUACGAACCCCAAAGGCGUAAUGAAAGUGAAGGGGCCCCUCGCGGGCACCGAGGUGGGAUCCCGCCCCACGGGGGCGGGCGCACCACCGGCCCGUCUCGCCGGCAGCGCCCGGGAGGCGGAGCAGGAGCGUAUUUGCAGGGACCCGAAAGAUGGUGAACUAUGCCUGAGCAGGGUGAAGCCAGAGGAAACUCUGGUGGAGGCCCGUAGCGAUUCUGACGUGCAAAUCGAUCGUCAAACUUGGNUAUAGGGGCGAAAGACUAAUCGAACCAUCUA
rnacentral:rRNA from 1 species